rnacentral:lncRNA from 1 species
CUCUCUCUCUCUCCAGUCAAAUGCUCAUGCUAAUAAUACAAGGAAGACACGUCUCUCUCUCUCUCUCUCCGCCCAUCUUGUCACAUGCUUAAUGCAAGGAACACAAGUCUCUCUCUCUAUUAGCUUCAUUGAGGCCUGUGUCUUUGCUAGAACCUGCGGUAACGCACCUCUUUGAACUUGUGAAAUGCAGCUCCCCUGUGGAGUAGAGACAUCAAAGCUUUUGUUGCAAUCGUUGUUUUGACCGUAGAUUUCUUCAAAGGGAAGGGGAUAAUAUGCGUGAGGUCAGCAAAUCCCUUGUGCGGAUAAAUGGGGAGAGAAAGAAUGAGAGGCCUGUAGCAAGUAACGUUAGUUUACUCUCUCUCUCUCAUAUAUCAAUGCUCUUGUCAGACUUUGUAAGAAAACAGAUACGCGCCAUUGCUUUUUUCACCCAGGGAUAAAUGGUCUCAUUGAAUCUUUUUUUUAUUAUAAUAUCUCGACAUUUAAUAUAAAUUUAAAAAUAUUAAUUUAAAAAUAAGAUUCAUCAAAUAAUGCCAUUUGAAAUCUCUCUCUCUUCCCUCUCUCCCUUCCUUCUCCUCUCUCUCUCUCAUAGAGCAAACAAAGAAAGAAUAGAUCUACUACCUUAUCUUCACCAAACGCCUCUCCACGGGACAAUGUAUUGAACUGAAAAAGAUAGAAUCAGGUUGGGGUCAUGGCGGCAGAAUCACCUGAGCCCCAGUUAAAAGUCA